rnacentral:sRNA from 2 species
UCGCGUCAUCCACCUACGCAACUCACACGCACGGCAGGAGCGGGGGAACCAGGUAAGUCGCCGGACCGGACGCCUUGAUGGCGCCCCGGGCCGGCUAGGGGUGAAGUCGUGCCGUCUCCCUGACGGCGCGGCCGGGCAUCUCCCGCCCGAACCCGACAGCUCACCUCGCAGGCGCCGGAGAGGAACA